GCCGAAGUGGUGGAAUUGGUAGACACGCUAGCUUGAGGGGUUAGUGAGCGAAAGCUCGUGCGGGUUCGAGUCCCGCUUUCGGCACCA
rnacentral:tRNA from 1 species